UACGUAGGCAGCGAGCGUUGUUCGGAAUUACUGGGCGUAAAGAGUGUGUAGGCGGUGCUCUAAGUUCGGUGUGAAAUCUCCCGGCUUAACUGGGAGGGUGCGCCGGAAACUGGAGUGCUCGAGUGUGGGAGAGGAAAGCGGAAUUCCUGGUGUAGCGGUGAAAUGCGUAGAUAUCAGGAGGAACACCUGCGGUGUAGACGGCUUUCUGGACCAUUGCUGACGCUGAGACACGAAAGCGUGGGGAGCAAACAGG
rnacentral:rRNA from 1 species